AGUGAACGCUGGCGGUAGGCCUAACACAUGCAAGUCGAACGGCAGCACAGUAAGAGCUUGCUCUUACGGGUGGCGAGUGGCGGACGGGUGAGGAAUACAUCGGAAUCUACUUUUUCGUGGGGGAUAACGUAGGGAAACUUACGCUAAUACCGCAUACGACCUACGGGUGAAAGCAGGGGAUCUUCGGACCUUGCGCGAUUGAAUGAGCCGAUGUCGGAUUAGCUAGUUGGCGGGGUAAAGGCCCACCAAGGCGACGAUCCGUAGCUGGUCUGAGAGGAUGGUCGGCCGCACUGGAACGGGGACACGGACCAGACGCCUACGGGAGGCAGCAGUGGGGAAUAUUGGACAGUGGGCGCAAGCCUGAUCCAGCCAUACCGCGUGUGUGAAGAAGGCCUUCGGGUUGUAAAGCCCUUUUGUUGGGAAAGAAAAGCAGCAGGUUAAUACCCCGCUGUUCUGACGGUACCCAAUGAAUAAGCACCGGCUAACUUCGUG
rnacentral:rRNA from 1 species